rnacentral:rRNA from 1 species
GACGAACGCUGGCGGCGUGCCUAAUACAUGCAAGUAGAACGCAGUUGCGAACGGGUGAGUAACGCGUCGGUAACUGCCUGGUAGCGGGGGGUAACUAUUGGAAACGAUAGCUAAUACCGCAUACUACCAACUGGACCUGCGUUGUAUUAGCUAGUUGGUGGGGUAACGUCUCACCAAGGCAACGGUACAUAGCCGACCUGAGAGGGUGAUCGUCCACACUGGGACCUAGGAACGGGCCAGACUCCCACGGGAGGCAGCAGUAGGGAAUCUUCGGCAAUGGACGGAAGCCUGACCGAGCAACGUCGCGCGAGUGAAGAAGGUUUUCGGAUCGGAAAGCUCUGUUGUAUGAGAAGCGGCAUCUUACCAGAAAGGGACGGCUAACUACGUGCCAGCCGCCGCGGUAAUUC